GCUUUGGAGAAGAAUCUUUAAACUGGCAGGGGCCCAUCGAUGUCACUGAGCAUGUACGCCCCAUUUUAGUCAACAUGGUUCCAAAUUGGAGCCGGAGCCCUGUCUAUUUGUGCUGAAAUAUGAGGAGGUCCAGAUAUUUUUAUAUCUCCUAAGCCUUCCAGAGAAGUAUAAUUAUCAGCACUCCAAAGAGCUAGGAACAUAAGCCAAAUCCAAACAAAUUAGGGAGUGAGAGCAGAAGAGCUACAGCUGUUGGGUCACACUGGGUAUAAAAUGGUUGAGGAUUUUCAGAAACUGGAGAAGAAUGUCACCUCAGUGAAAUUUCAGUGAUAAAAUGAACUUGCUCUUUAACACUUUUCUCUCCAAUACUAGAGGAAAUCAGCUCAAGAGGACAAUAGCUUCUAAGUAUGGAUGGAACAAAAAUGGAAAGGCAGAAAUGGAACCAACAAGAAGAACAUCUUGGGGCAUGAGUCAGCUUCCACAGAAAUCAUUUUCCCCAGCUUCCUCUGAAAGUACAUGAAACAGAAAGUGUCACAGAAAUGUACUUUGGACAAAUGGCAUCUGCAGAUUUAAAGAAGGAAAAAGUGUGGUGGGGAUUUAGCUUAAUCGUGCCGCUGCUGCCUGCCUUGCAAUCACAAGGUCCCGGGUACCAAACAAAAAGAAGAAGA